rnacentral:lncRNA from 10 species
AAUUAACCACGCAUGAUAUAGAUGAAGGCCUAAGGCUCAAAGAGAUGAUAGAACUUGGCCACGGUCACCCAGGCAGUAAGUGGCUGGGAUAGAAAGCAAGGACCUGCCAAAUUCAGAGUCCAAGUUCUUAACCACUUAAUUCCUUCCUGUAAUUACCGUUCUUUUAGUACAGUUGCUAGUGUUGUCACUGUUAUUCUUGUUGUUCCUAUUAUUAUUUCAGGCCCUGGGCUUGGCCAGGCAGGGAAGCCAGACACUGGAUCCCAUCCUCCUCCCACCAUCUCCACUUCCAUAUUUCUUUCCUGCUUCCCAACCAUCCCUCUCAGUCGCCCCCGCACCACUGGCCCUUCCCACAGCUACCAAUCCAUAUCCCACCCCCGCUCUUGCAGGGAUGUUCCUGAUGACAUACAGCCUAUCACCAGCCUCCCAGGAGUGGCCAGGUAUGGUGUGAAGCGGCUGGAAGAGAUGCUGAGGCCCUUGGUGGAAGAGGGCCUACGCUGUGUCUUGAUCUUUGGCGUCCCCAGCAGAGUUCCCAAGGACGAGCGGGGUUCCGCAGCUGACUCCG